rnacentral:rRNA from 4 species
UGCAUGACUCUCGGCAACGGAUAUCUUGGCUCUCGCAUCGAUGAAGAACGUAGCAAAAUGCGAUACUUGGUGUGAAUUGCAGAAUCCCGUGAAUCAUCGAGUUUUUGAACGCAAGUAGCGCCCGAGGCCACCUGGUUGAGGGCACGACUGCCUGGGCGUCACGCUUUACGUCGCUUCAUGC